GCUGUAAAAGUUUAUGAUAAACAGUUAGUCUUGUAAACUAAAAAAGAAAGUUUAAAUCUCUCUUAUAGCU
rnacentral:tRNA from 1 species